UCUCAAAGGAAACACUCUCGGUACACUGUAUGAGAGGGCUGGACUGGGCUUGAACCUGCAUGCACAAACAAGUCCGAUUAGAGACUGGUCAAGCUGAUGGAAACCAUAACAGAGAAUGAACUUACCUCAUGGUAUCAACGCAGGCCCCAAGUUAUGGCCUCCUUGUUCAUCAUGUAUGGUGGAUGAACCGGGUUUGAGACCUCGUGGCUAUAGAGGGAGGCUCAAGUUGCAGUAUGUAAUCUUCUCUAAUCUCAGUUAUCGUCCACUUGUUUCUCUCAUUCAUAAGUAAAAAUACAUAUGUUAUUAACAACGAAUAAUAAUCGAAAACGAUACAAAACGAAAGGGGACUGAUUUUACCACUGAACAUGCGGUCCCCAGUCACCAUGCACCACCACGUGCCACCAUUGGAAUAGCCAUGUGUUGUCGCACACGCCACCUGCGCACCACCACUAGACUUGUCACACGUCGCUGCACAUGGAGCUAAAUAUUCACAUAAAUCCAAUCGAAAAAACUCCAUAUAUCUAGCCCUUUUCCAUCGUGCAUAGAUCUAACCACCAUCACGCACAGUACCAACACUGUCGGAAUUUUCUCCCCACUGCCAUGUUACUGCAUACACGAAAUGGGCCUGUCUUCCUGUUGUAACAUCGCAUCUUCUUUCCCUAAUAAAUUGAUGUCCCUCGAUUUCUUUUCUGUUGGCAUCACACGCCAUAUAGCUCUCAUCUGGUCAUAGUCGUCGCACGCCAAGCCUCGCGCCUCCCUUCUUCUUUUCCUUCUUUUACCCCUUGUUCUUCCUUUUUUCUUCUUUUUUUUUCUUCUUUGUUGUGUCUUUUUCUUCUGUGCGGUGGUUCUUUCUUUCAUCCCGAUCAAUUACUGGUCCUUUCUCAUCAAGUCGCGUCGAUUCUUCUUCCAUUAAUGCACAAAUCUCCCUUUUUUACUGCACACCAUGCCCUCUUUUCUCUCUUCCGGUUGCCCUCUCCUCUCCCCUAGCUGUGAUGACCCACUCGUUCUCUCUCUCUCUCUCUCUUUCCCUUUGCACCUCUAUCUCUUCCCUCUCUCCCCUGAUCGACUCCCCCCUUCCUCAGGAAACCCUAAUCGGGUUUUCACUUAUAUCUUAUUCCUUGGUAGUCCAAUCUCCUUCAAUCUCACUCGUUCAUUUUCAGAUCUCGCCAUGUGUAUGCACACAUGACAGAGCGGCCUGGCCCACCUUGCCAUUUCAUUUGCUAAGGUGUCUAACACUUCUCAAAUUUACAUUUUAGCUUUAUUUUUUGUAUUUAUUGUCAUUUAGGUUUUUUUAUUCACAAAAUGUCACUAAAAUUUAAUUUUUUCUUCACUUAAGCCCCCAAAAUCUUAAUUUUUAUAAUUUUAGGUUUAAUUUAAGGAAUUCAUAAAGUCGCGGGUGUUACAUAAAUAAUUUAUAUAAAUUAAAAAAAUUAGUGGGACAAUAUUGGAACACCCACCGAAACCUUUUUUUUUCAUUUUUUAUUAAUAAAUAUAAUUAUUUAUUUAUUUAUUUAUUUAUUUUAUUAUAUUUUAUUUUAAUUUAAUGAAAAAAGGGGUAAAAUUUAUUAAGGAUUAAAUUGAAGAUAAUUUUUUUAAAAAAGGUGAAAAAUUGGGUUCAGGAGGUAUUUUUGAAAGAAAAAUUGAAAACCGAGAGUCAAAACGCAAUUUAAAAAAAUUUUACCACGUUAGACGCCCGAUCAGUACCCCGACCAAUCAGGAUGCACCAAGUGGUAGAGGCGCUUAUGUGGGAGGCCACGCGGAGGAGAGCCACGCGGGCAAUCCGCGUGCGCGUGAUCGAAUUGCCGAGGUCCAUUCCCACGCGCACGGACGACCCAGAGUGAAUCGCGUACGGACAGACCAGAUUGGAUCGCGAAGAAUGGCCCAAAUUCACUCCCUAUUUAAUCGUGAUCAGACGGUCUAGAUUAAACGCGAUGGACGGUCCAGAUCAAAAGCGGAUAUGUAUAAAUAACCCCAUUUGCACCCAAACCCUAACCCUAGCCGCCAGAACCCCUCGCCGGAGAAGACAAACCAGUUGCCGGAAAGCUGACCGCCGCCAUCCACCGCUACACCGGAACCUUUUCCGACCGCCAAAAACGGUAAAAAAAUUUCUUUUUACACGAAAUUCAAUUUUAAACCCACCAUGGCCAAAUGGAAGUGAAAGAACUGACCAAUUGGUCAGAAAACACAAACAAAGCCCGUGGGCUUUGCCUCGGAGAAUUUCACAAACUGCCUGCGAUGAAGCCUUUUUCGAUUCCUGUUUCACGUAAUUUUUCUACCGUUGUGAUCACCAUUUUCUUCUCUACAGGUUGACCGAAACAAAAUACUCAAUCGCAACAUGAACCGAAGGAGCCACCGCACCGGAGAGCCCUGCCGCUAGUGAGUUUCAAUUUUUCGUAUUUUUUCGGUCCACCGAGGCCCUUCAGCGUGUGUGCUUGCUGGAAUCGAUGCAAAAUCGGCCAAAUUCGGCCAAAAAUGGCCGACCCGAGAUAGACCGUUGUCGCCGUGCCGGAUUUUUAAAAUUAGUCUAGCGAGCCCUGGGACUGAUUUUUGGUUUAUUUGAAACAAUUGUAGGUACUAUAAACGCAUUUCAGUUCCUGAGAAAAAAUUCAGGGAACCCAGGGACCUCCCGUAUGCACAGUAAACCUUUUAGCUUUUCGGCGUCAAAUCGAGUAAGGACCACUUAUCCUAUUCCCUAUCAUAAAAUUGAAGUUUAAAUAAAUAAUAAUACAGUAUUUUAUAGAAAUUAAAUAGAUGUGAAUGACUAAUUACGGAUUACUAAUAGAGCCCGAACUGGACAUUGUUCCCCGUUGAUUUAUUUUAUAGUCUAAAAAUAUGAUAGUAUCUGAUUUAUCUAUUUUAUGGUUUAAAUACAUGUAUUACUGCCUUACCUGACCAUUGUUUGAUUUGAGAUUUGAGAUAUGAUUGCAUUAUCGGAUGCAUGUUUAUUUGUUUAUGUGAUUAUGUUUGAUUUGGUAAUGGAGACUAAAGGAAAACAGGAAAGGGGUGUCAUCAAAUAAACAGAUGGAAUGACAGUCUUACUAGAUAUCCUAGAAGAUGGUGAACGGACCCAGUACAUGGGGAACCCUACCGUGAACGUUGUCUCAUAUCGGACGAGGUACGGAGACUUGGGCAUUUGGCGCUCAUACCGGACGGGAUAUGGGACGGCCCGCUUUACCCUCAUAGCGGAUAGGGUAUUGAGGUUUAAUGUCUUGGCACUCAUACCAGACGGGGUAUGGGGACGGUCCUGUAAUUGAGAUUGUUAAAGGGAAGGGUUCACGUGUAGCGGGGACAUUUUUAUGAACCCCCACGGAUACUAGUAGGCUGGUAAAAUGAGAA
rnacentral:lncRNA from 1 species